UCCCUAACCCUUCUCUCUUCCCUUCCCCUUUCCCCAUACCCUAACCCUAGUGGCGCCAGGCUUUGUGCCUUCUCUCUCAGGCCAGAAAUGGAAAAGUUGCAGAGAGUACAAGGCUUUGCAGCCUUCGUACACCCUUUUCGCGCGAUAACAUUAAUGAUCCAACCUCAUUUUCAUCUCCUUCCUUCCAAACACGGAUGGAAGCACAAAGAGCUUUUGAACCCAUUCUUGACCAAAGGUUGCAUUGAAAAAAGGUAAUACCCCAACCCUUUUAUAUAUUUUUUUCAUUCUAUUUAUAAGUUGAUAAUUGGUCUGUGUUAUUAAGUGUUCUUGGUCGAUGGUCUUAUAGUAGGAUUUUGACUUAAGCACUGUUUAAUAUGCUUCAGAAUAAGCCCCUCCUAAACAUGAUGCCUUGUUUAUCUAAUGUACUUAAUCUAGUAUCUCAUUAUUUGUUUGAGUUGGAUGUUCUAGAUUAGUGCUAAUGCUUUGCACGAAUGUUUGAAUUUGCUGGAAACUUGAAAUGAUUUAUAUUGAAAUGACUUUGAGGUUUGAUAAAGGUCAACAGUGCACCAUUAAUAUAUAUAUAUAUAUAUAUAUAUAUAUAUAUAUAUAGAGAGAGAGAGAGAGAGAGAGAGAGAGAGAGAGAGAGAGAGAGAGAGAGAGAGAUAGAGAGAAAUAAGAGGUGCUUAGUUUAAUUAGGGAACACAUAGGGUGUUGUAAGGCUGUUGGAAUACUAAUUUGGAUUGUAUGACUCUUUGGUAAGACUGCUUUGUUUUAGGAAGUCCAUAUGACAUGUUUAUAUGGUCACCAUUUGAUUACUUGCAUCAUAAUGUGAUAACACCUAUCUCCAAAAGGGAUUCAUGACGUAAGUACCUUUCUAGUUGUGUCUAAGGAUCUUUGUUUUGCAUCAUUGAACAUGUCCAGAAUUAUCAUUAGUUGAUUUGUGAUGUUCUUCUUUUUAAAGUAAGACUGCCCUACUCCUAUCCUACCGUGCUUAAGUGAGAAUCAACUUAAAGUUGUGCCUUAAGAAUCUGGGUGCAAAUGUGUUAUGUCUUCCAUGGUUGAUGCUACAUUGCUAUACAAAUGCCAUAAUUUGACCCUCUAUGUGAUUUGUUCCUAUUCCCUAUUGGUUUGUUGAAAUCUAUAGUGUGCAGUAACUGUUUUGACUUUAAUAAAUAUGGUAAAAAAAAAGGCUAAAGUGACGAAAAACCCCCUAAACUUGACACGUUUUCAAAUUUAGUCCUUGAACUAUUGCCACACUAAAAAACAUCCCUAGACUUGGCUAACUACAUUUUAAUUCACCCCCGAGUUGACAUGCCACAGCAAGUGGAAUGCACUUGGUGUCCACUUGACAUUUUCGUCCUAGAUGUCCUCCACGUAGAUAAAUUGUUUUUAAAAAAAAUGGUGACACUGAUUUUCUUAUAAAAAAUUUGGAACAACGGAUUUUUUUUAAAAUCUAGAAAUUUUGAUUAAAAAAAAACUAGAAAACUAGAUUUUUUUUUUAAAUGUGGAAACCCUUUUUUUUUCAAAAAAUAAUCCUGUACAGAUUUUUUAAUAAAAAAUCUAGUCCAGAUUUUUUUUUUAAAAAUAAUCCCAGAAAAUUAGAUUUUUUUUAAAUCUAGAUUUUGUUUUAUCAGUUUUCCACUUUAUUCUUAAAAAAAAAAAUCAAUAUUCCAAAUUUUAAAAAAGUUCAGGUUUUUUAAUUAAAAAAAGAAACAAUUUUCCAGUUUUUUUUUAAAUAAUUAGUUUUGCACAUUUAAAAAAAAUAGUUUUCCAGGUUUUUUUUUAAAAAAUCCAGUCAUAUUUAUAUUUAAAAAAUGGGUUUUCCACAUUUUAAAAAAACAUGUUUUUCUAAUUUUAAAAAAGUCCACUUUUUGAUGGACGAAGGGGAUAAUUUAGAUGUUGGAAUAGGAAAAAAAAUUAAAGGGAAAUGUAAAAAUAAUUGAUUUUUCUUGUUUAAAAAAAAAAAAAAGCUGAUGUGGCUGCGACUCACGCGCCUGUUGGAGGUUGAGCACAUUUGUUGUGCCAUGUGUCAACAUGGGAGUGAAUUAAAAUGUAGUUAGCUAAGUCUUGGGGUGUUUUUAAGUGUGGCAAUAGUUCAGGGACUAAAGUAUGAAAACGUGUCAAUAUUAGGGGUGUUUUCAUCACUUCAGCUAAGAAAAAUGAUUAGAGAUACAGGCAGAUUAAGAAUGUAGUAUUUCAUUAAAUAAGGAAGCCUUAUGUUCUUUCUUAGAUUAGUCUGGCUUAUUGUUUCAUGAUAUGAGCAAGUCAAAUUAAAACAAGAUUUACAGUUUAUAUAUGCUUUGUUGGAAACUAAUGUGCUUGAGAUUCUUACUUGAUUAUGACCUCUGGAUUAAGCUUGACUAAUGAAAAUAACCAGCUUGUUGUUGACAAUGUAAGUUCUAAAUUAAGAAAAACUGAGUGGACUUAGCCUUAAUAGCUAGUCAUUAUUAAGUUAGAUGUUUGAAUACUAAUCAGGGAUAGAACCACAACGAGAAUAAGUCUACAAAGGCACUGAACCAAGACUGUUAGGGUAAAGGGGGGGGGGGGGGGGUUAGGCUAAUGAUGAAUCUUUAGUUUGGUAAAGUGACAUUGCUUUGCAAAUCUAGUCUAUUUUCAGUGAUAAAACAUGACUAGGUAAAAAGGAAAGAGGAUAAAACUGCCUAGACUAGCUUGAACCUUAUGUAUAUUUCUGAGAAGAACUCUGUCUAAGGACUAAGUUGGCAAGGGAUUUGAGCCAAUCUUUUUGCCAAGAAAUUAGCCCCUUUAUAACUUGAGUAGAAAUCUAAAGUGUUUAUCAUGUGACCUGUUUGUUAAGAUGCCUCACUGUCUUUACACCUUCAUUACAGUUCAGGGAUUUAUUUCAUUUGCCAGUUGAGUCUGUCUUCCCUCUUCCCUUUUCUUCCUUUUCUGUGAAUCUUGUUGUGUCAAAGGCUUAAAGGUUUGGUCUUGCUUAGGUAAUAAAGGAUCUUUACUGAGAAUGAGGGUUGGUUCAUGGUCAUUUGGUAAUUUGUUUGCUUGAAUUCCCUUUGUGUUCUGUUUAGAGGUGCUGAAUGUUUUCAAAGAAAGUGAUCAUGCUAUAUCCAAGAUUAAAUUGUCAAUCUAGUAUAUACUGUUGAAUCAUGAGAUUUCCUACAUGAGUUCUAUUGGCACAUAACUAGCUUAAAGAUAAAAAGGGGGAAAUCUGCCUACUGUCAUUGCUUGAAUCAUUUGUGUUUGGGCUUAAUCUCUAACACUCUAUCUAGAUAUUCUAGUUACCAUCAUUUACUUGACUGCCUCAUACUCAUUUUCUAUGACUUGGCCAGAUGAAGUUGGUAAUAUGACAUGACCUUGUUAAAUGCCUAGACUGAUCUAAGAUGGUUCUGUGAAAUAGGUUAAAAAACUUGUUGAUGACACCUUGACUUAUGCUGUGAUUCUGUAUGGAUUUUGCUAGCUUCUAGUGGUGAAAAUGAUCCCAAUCCUAGCCUAAAUGACCCUGUCCAUUUAUAUGUACAUGCAUUUAAACUGGUUAGGGCACUUAGUUGUAAGUGACUCCUGGUAGCAACGCUCUAUAUGAUUAGAGAAAGAUUGAAGGUAAGCUAAAAGCCACAUGGCCAGGAAGAGUCUUUUCAAAAGGUGCCUUGAGAGGGGAUCUAGGGGGAUGAUCAUAGCACUGUUUGAUUCACCACACUUCCCUUUAUAUAAAAGGCACCGUGUCACUUUCAUAAGCCCAUGGUGGUGCAUGCUGACUGUAUAAAUCUUUCAAAAAUCAUGUGAAUUUUGUUGCUAGAACCUAGAAGACUUGGCUAAAAUCAUACAUGCAUUGAUAAGUGGCUUAGUAAAACUUAGUAGUGAACCCAGGAGCAUCUGUACAUGACUGAAUUAGAAUACAAAGGAAAGAGUUUAAAGGAAAAUAGGAAAUUUGAAUAGGUGAGGCAUUGAAACUUAAACUGAGUUAUUAAAGACUGAUAAGAUCACGCAGGUCUUUCCUCUUUUCAAGAAAUUCCACCAAAGAGACAUAAAUGAUUUUAUGCAUCCUUUCUAUGCUAUGUGUGUAGCUUGCAUACUUUUACUUGAUGUCUUCAUCUUGUUAAGUCUAACUAGGACCUAAAAAUCCACCUACCUGCUAUGUUUAUGUAUUUAGCUUGACUGAAAUUAGUUUCCUUUCUCAUGUUAUAUCUGUCUGCUCAGUCUACACUUGACCUUUGCAAAUGUGACUUGGAAUAUACUUUUCUUUUACUAGGGCAUGUUUGGUUAUAUGUGCAGUGUGUGACUGUGAUUGAACUCUAUAUUGGAAUCUACCUAUGGUUGUACAUCUUCAUAAAGAGAUUGAUAAGCUUAUUUUGCAUAGAUCACUCUGGUUUAAAAUGAUGCAUAGCUUUAAUGAAUAUAUUCCUGUCCUUUAUAGUAAUUAAGUAGUAGUAAUGAUGUACAGUGAAAUAUUAUCCUUUGUUGCUUGGUUGUUGUGUUUAUGCCUAUUCCUCUGUGUCUUUGUUUGAAGGACAGACCAUCCAAUGAUAUUGGACUCUAAGUGUACACUUGUGCUUGAUUGUGGUAGUGUUGAGGAUCAUUUGGGGUUGGUCUAACCUUCCCCCAGUGCCAACCAUGUCUGGGGUUCGAUGAAACCCCUUGAAUCUUGUACGACAUUGGGAAUAAGGAUGGUGACAACCACCCCAAUCUCAUUCCAAAAUACUCAGUCCACACAUCACAAAAAUACACUAUGGAAAAACUAUCAUGUUAGGACAGUUUGGCUACCUUUAUUAUUCUUAUUACUAUACGUGUAUAUCUUCUAUAUAUUAUGUGAAUUUUAUAGGAUCCUGUCUAACCAAAUUACUUUUCUUUCCCCCCCCCCCCCCUCCCCCCCCCUCCCUUUCUUACUCUUCGCAUGGCCACUUGGGUCGAGGACACAGUCUCCUUAUUGGGCCAAAGGCCCAAUAGGACAAUUCUUCCAGAUUUUUGUCGAGUACGAGAAAGGGAAGCUAAGGAGCUUGGUACACCCCAAGUUAUUUCAUUACUAUUGUAUGAUACGUUUACAUUCAUACUUCUAUCUGUAAACUCGUACUACUAUUGGAAACCAAAUGGUUGGAGCUAGAUGUUUUAGGCAAACGGUACUUAAGCAGUUUAGUUGGACUUU